rnacentral:rRNA from 1 species
AGCGAACGCUGGCGGCAGGCCUAACACAUGCAAGUCGAACGAACCCUUCGGGGUUAGUGGCGGACGGGUGAGUAACACGUGGGAACGUGCCUUUAGGUUCGGAAUAACUCAGGGAAACUUGUGCUAAUACCGAAUGUGCCCUUCGGGGGAAAGAUUUAUCGCCUUUAGAGCGGCCCGCGUCUGAUUAGCUAGUUGGUGAGGUAAUGGCUCACCAAGGCUACGAUCAGUAGCUGGUCUGAGAGGAUGACCAGCCACAUUGGGACUGAGACACGGCCCAAACGCCUACGGGAGGCAGCAGUGGGGAAUCUUGCGCAAUGGGCGAAAGCCUGACGCAGCCAUGCCGCGUGGAUGAUGAAGGUCUUAGGAUUGUAAAAUCCUUUCACCGGUGAAGAUAAUGACUGUAGCCGGAGAAGAAGCCCCGGCUAACUGCGUGCCAGCCGCCGCGGUAAGAC